CCUGAUGCAGCCNUGCCGCGUGUGUGAAGAAGGCCUUCGGGUUGUAAAGCACUUUCAGUUGUGAGGAAAGGAUUGUAGUUAAUAACUGCAUUCUGUGACGUUAACAACAGAAGAAGCACCGGCUAACUUCGUGCCAGCAGCCGCGGUAA
rnacentral:rRNA from 1 species